GGCUUUGCUUGCAUGACGUAAUUUGGGGGGUGGGGGGGAUGAACCCAAAGCUCACCUCAGGUUGGCUGUCACUGCUCACCUUUUUUUUUUUUUAAAUAACACCGCAACUGUUCGACUAAACCUCUUGAAACGGACGCGGGCUCCUUUCCCUCCAGCAGAAGCUUGUGUGAGUAUGAGUCGUCCUCCAGGUGUAACAAUGCAUCCAUUAACCGCCACGUCGCCGUGGCAACGCGCCACUGCUACUGACCUGUGUCAUGCGUACUAACAGCGUCUGGGGGAGGGGUUUAAAUGAUGAGGUCAGAGGUACCGCAGGUUCCAUCUCUGAUUCCUGACGUUUCUACAGAAACCGACACAUGAUGAUUGUUUUCAUUCCUUUUGAACGGAUUCACUUUAAAAAGAACACACGCAUUUAUUAUACCGACUAGUGUUUCCCGCAACGUUUUCACAUUAAGCCCCCGACUUCCUUUCAUCUGUGCUCGUCAUGUCGCCCCGGUUGCUAACGGCGUUUCAGCCCCAAUAGCUGGGGAAUAGCCUCAUGCGCGUUUAUCGUAAUAAGGCGCUCGUGUCCUCCCAAGGACAUCUCCCCCAUCAGGGCCCCGGCUCUUAGUGUAAUGAGCCCCAGAUGAACAUCGAGGCUCUCGCCCACUCCCCGCAGGACGCCCCGCGACUCCUAAAAGCUUUCGGUAAUAAAGCGGUGACGUUCCGGCCUUCUACGUGGAGAUAAAUUAGAUUAAAGAAAAACGAGCGCUCUCAACUAGAAGUGCUUCUCCAUCAAUAUGCUCACAUGAACUGCAGCGUGUCAUUUAUCUUCACCGCGGGGUCGAGGGUUUAACGGCAGUGAUUCAUUGAUACGGGCUUCGGCUUAUGGAUCCUUUUCCUGUUCUGUAAUUCCUCAUAAGGGGCGUCGGCCUAAAGAGGCUCUCGUGAAAAGGCGCCGACUUUAAAGUCUGUUAAUCUAGUCAUCAAAUAGGUAAUUAGUUAGAAUCCUCCUACGUAAAUAUGACUCGAGACAAACGAACACCUGUAUGUAAAAUGAUUUAUAUAUAUGGUUUAUUUAUUGAACGAUGUAUUGGCAGUAAUGUCUCGUGCAGGACACCAGGCUCACAAUCAUAACACGUAAUGUUUAACCCCCCCGGCCGGUUUUACAGGACAACGUCAGCGGGACGGCGGCGGACGAGCUGAGCAGCAGCGUGAGCGAGGACACGGGGUUCUGCAGCGCCCCCCCUCUGCCCUCUGACCCCUCGGAGCUGUGUGAGCCACAGGACCCCCAGGAAGACCUGGACCCGGCCCCCCCUCCCCCACGGGCCACAGACACUCCCCGGGG
ensembl:lncRNA